ACACGACUCUCGGCAAUGGAUAUCUCGGCUCUCGCAUCGAUGAAGAGCGCAGCGAAAUGCGAUAUGUGGUGCGAAUUGCAGAAUCCCGUGAACCAUCGAGUCUUUGAACGCAAGUUGCGCCCGAGGCCAACCGGCUGAGGGCACGUCCGCCUGGGCGUCAAGC
rnacentral:rRNA from 2 species